UUGAUCCUGGCUCAGAACGAACGCUGGCGGCGCGUUUAAGCAUGCAAGUCGGACGGUAAGGUGGUGCUUGUCACUACCUGAGAGUGGCGAACGGGUAGACUAACACGUAAAUUAUCUACCUUUGAGAGUGGGAUACCCUGUACAAAUAUAAGGUACUACCGAAUUAUGCCUGUUGAAUCAGAUUUGUGCAGCGUGAAGAGGAGCCCUUGUUCCGCCUGGGACCAUGAGUUCUGCUGUCCAUUAGUUUGAUUGUUCGGGUCAUCGCCUACCAAAGCGAUAAUCGAUACCCGACCUGAAACGGUCUACGGUCACACUGAGAACUGAGACACAGUCCAAACUUCUACGGGAGGCAGCAAUUAAGAAUCUUCCGCAAUGAGGCGAAAGCCUGACGGACCGAUGCCGGGAUGAACGAUGACGGCCGAGAGGUUGUAAAGUUCUUUUCUUGGUGAAGAAUCAGUGUCUGAGUGGCAAGCCUACGAUAUCACCUUACCCGCGGACUAAGCCCCGGCCAAUUACGUACCAUCAGCCGCGGUAACACGUAAUGGGCGACCGUUGUUCGGAAUUAUUGGGCGUAUAUGGCGUGUCGGUGCUUUACUCUGCCUGGUCUUCUGAUCUCUGGCUCCUCCAGAGUCGUACACUAGGACCUGUGACACUAGAGUUCAGGAAGGGACGCUGGAAUUCCUGGUGUCGGCGUGAACUCUGUCGAUAUCCGGAAGAACACCGGUCGCUAAGGCGCGCUUCUAUCCAUGGCCUGACGCUGAGGCUCGACAGCGUGGGGAGCGAACAGGAUUAGAUUCCCUGGUAUUCCAGGCUGUAAACGAUGUGCAGUGGGCGUAGGAUUCUAAUAGGAUUCUACGCCGUAGGUAACGCGUUAAGUGCACCGCCUGGGGAGCAUGGUGGCAAGGGUGAAAAGCAAAGGAAUCGACGGGGGCCCGCACAAGCGGCGGAGCAAGUGGUUUAAUUGGAUGA
rnacentral:rRNA from 1 species